rnacentral:rRNA from 1 species
UACGUAGGGCGCAAGCGUUGUCCGGAAUUAUUGGGCGUAAAGAGCUCGUAGGCGGUUUGUCACGUCGGGUGUGAAAGCCCGGGGCUUAACCCCGGGUCUGCAUUCGAUACGGGCAGACUAGAGUGUGGUAGGGGAGACUGGAAUUCCUGGUGUAGCGGUGAAAUGCGCAGAUAUCAGGAGGAACACCGGUGGCGAAGGCGGGUCUCUGGGCCGAUACUGACGCUGAGGAGCGAAAGCGUGGGGAGCGAACAGG